rnacentral:sRNA from 2 species
CGUUGCCGCAGGCAACGACCCGAAGGGCGAAACGCGCAGCGCUGAGUCAUCCUUCCCCCACCACCA